GAUACUCUGAAUAUUUGGGAGCUCUCCGAUAAUGGAUGAUGUACCAUGGAAGCUAUUAUUUGGCAUAGUUAAAGAAACAAGACAUGAAACAUUUGCAUAUGUUUGCAUUUGGGGUGAGAGGUUAUUUGUUGGGGAGGUCCAUGACCCAAAUGAUUGAAGGAAACACAUCACGGAACAAUCCUUCAAAGCCACACAAAGAAACAUAUACAAUGCUUUUCAAUCUUAUCAGUGCAUUUGGCACUUGUGUUAUAGCAGUUUUAUUGGCCAUCAAAGUUGUCAAAGAUUCCAUCUGUUCUAAAUCCUCUUCCAACUUGUUAAUUUGUGAACAUCCAGAAAGAAUGAGAGUUUUCAGAGAUUUCAACUUGUAGAUGCUUCUUGGAAGUAUACGAAGGCUUGUGCAACCUUUCAGAUUGACUAGAAGAAUUUUUUUAAGAUCUCGAAUGGCUUUCCCAUUCAUUCAUCCCGGUGGUGCAAGGCCGGCCGAAAGGUCUUUUGGCCGACUCCUCUUCAUGUUCUAUUGAUCAGAAGCAUCCAGCAGCGCCACAAGAGCUAAUUCGUUCUUAGCUGUUUUAGCUUCUUAGAAACAGACUAAAGGGAACUACCGGCUUUGUUAUGGAUAGAGGUUAGAUAAAAGAAAGAAGAAGUAGCUUUCUGGCUUUGAGCUGGAACAAGGUAUGAUCCUUAGGAAGGGCAGAGCCCGUUUCCGAUGUGAGAUAGAAUAUCCGGGGAUCCCUAAAUAAAGCGUUCGCCUCUAUCGCCUACUUACUCGGGGAUGCCGUCUUAGAUCUCCCGAUCCGCCCCCUGCGAGUGCUGGGAGGCUUUAUUCACGGGAUAGGCUAUCAAUUCGGUCAGAAAAAAGCGGAAGAAGCGCUGUGCUAGUGAAUCGAGAAGUCUUUCACAGUCUUAUUUAUUGAAGUGAACUUUCUGCAAUAGCCGAGUUCAUCCAAGGAGCAGAAGAGGGUAGAGGAGGAAUCUGUCGCUACUGUAGUUACUCUAUUGUCUCUAUCUGUCGGUCCUUUCCGUAUUCCCGUUCUCUUAUAAGAUUGAGAAUUUCCAACUUCAUUAACGUCUGCAAAAAAUUCAAUAAAAAGUAAAUAAAUAAACGAAGAAGCUACCUGCGAACUUUUUUUUUUUAAUAUUGGGCCAAAGGUGGUGUUACCCACCAAAAUGACCAUACAGCUGAGGAGAGUUUAACGUCGCUAUGGGAGCCGUCAAAUGCUGCAAGAAAAACAUCAACACCGUUAUGUGGAAAACGUCACUAACGUUUUGAUCAAAAUGUUACCGACAUUUUGUUGUGCAUGAUCAACACGUGGCAGGUUCCUCUCUCUUCUCACACAUUGAUGAAAAUGCCAACUCUCUUCUUCCUUCAUUCUUUUUUCUUCAGUCCAUAGUCUCAUUAUUCUUAUCCAUAGUCUUCAUUCUUUCUUCUUCAUUUUGUUUAUCCCACAUCCCCACAACAAAAAAAACGACAGCUCCACAUUUCCGCAACAAGAAAAAUGGCAACAGUCAAAGAUUAAAAAAGCGUUAAAGACAAAAAUGGAAAAACGUGACAUCACACGUGCUGACGAGCAUAUAUCAGAAUAUCUUCAACAUCCUAUAUAUGGUUCAAGAAAUUUGCACAGUAGACACUUACACCAAAUAGACUCAUAUGAUGCUAGGGUGGAAGAACAACUCAGAGAGAGCGGAUUCUAUCAUAUAUCUCAGAUUGGAAGGAUCAUGUCUCACGGUCCAACUAUAGAUGCACUAGUUGAAAGGUGGCGGCUUGAGAUGCACACAUUUCAUCUUCCACACGGCGAGUACACAACUACGUUGGAGGACGUUGCCAUGAUUUUUGGACUCCGAACUCACGGCUUGCCAAUUACUGGAUCAACUGACCACAGCACAAAUGGGUUAGAGAAUGAGUGCAUGACCCAAUUUGGUAUUGCUCCUGGCCCGAACGACUAUAGAGGAAGCGGAGUCAAGCUAGCAUGGUUCCGCACCCUAAAGCGGCGCCAACAUUUGAAUGGCGCAGUAAGUAGGGAAAUUUAUGUAAAAUGUCACAUAAUGUGUCUAUUUGGAACAACCUUAUUUAGUGACAAGUCUGGAAUUAGUGUGCAUUGGAAGUAUUUGUCGUUGCUUCGUGACUUUUCUCAAAUUCACAAGUUUAAUUGGGGUUCAGCUUGCCUUGCACACAUGUAUCGAUCCUUAUGUCGGGCAUCUAGGUAUGAUUGCAAGGACAUUGAUGGUCCUAUGUCAUUGCUCCUUGUAUGGGCAUAGUUACGAAUGCCGUCAAUAGGACCACUGCCGAUGGAUACUACUUUUCCAUUUGCUCGCAGGUGGAAUGAUUAUCAAUCAGCUAUCGAGCAAUAUAAAAAUUGGACAACUGCUGACGUCAGGAGAAGGUUGGACGAUCUUUCUCCGGACGGAGUAUAUGUUUCGUCAUUUAGAUUUGAUGUUAUGCUAUAUUAAAUUCAUGAUUGCUCAUUUAUAACUUUGAGAUUUAAUGUGUUUUUACAGUUUGUGUGGGAUGCAUAUAGUCCCAACCGAAUUGCACCACAUCUUAUUCCAUUUGAGACCAUUUAUAUUACCUUU